rnacentral:rRNA from 1 species
ACGGAAGGCAGCAGUAGGGAAUAUUGCACAAUGGGGGAAACCCUGAUGCAGCAGCGCCACGUGUGGGAAGAAGCAUUUCGGUGUGUAAACCACUGUCGUGAGGGAAUAAUACGCGGAUUCGUCCUCGGGGGAAUGUACCUCGAAAGGAAGCACCGGCAAACUUCGUGCCAGCAGCCGCGGUAAUACGAGGGGUGCAAGCGUUGUUCGGAAUCACUGGGCGUAAAGGGAGCGCAGGCGGAGAUGCAAGCAGUCUGUACAAUACCGGGGCCCAACCCCGGACCUGCAGACUGGACUGUUUCUCUUGGAUAGUUCAGGGGCAAGCGGAAUUCCUGGUGUAGCGGUGGAAUGCGUAGAGAUCAGGAAGAACACCGAUGGCGAAGGCAGCUUGCUGGGGACUUAUCGACGCUCAUGCUCGAAAGUGCGGGUAGCAAACAGGAUUAGAUACCCUGGUA